rnacentral:rRNA from 1 species
UACGAAGGGGGCUAGCGUUGUUCGGAUUUACUGGGCGUAAAGCGCACGUAGGCGGUUUGUUAAGUCAGGGGUGAAAUCCCAGAGCUCAACUCUGGAACUGCCUUUGAUACUGGCAAGCUAGAGUCCGGAAGAGGUAAGUGGAACUCCUAGUGUAGAGGUGGAAUUCGUAGAUAUUAGGAAGAACACCAGUGGCGAAAGGCGGCUUACUGGUCCGGAACUGACGCUGAGGUGCGAAAGCGUGGGGAGCAAACAGA